AGGUGGGGCUGAUGACUGGGGUGAAGUCGUAACAAGGUAUCCGUACCGGAAGGUGCGGAUGGAUCACCUCCUAACAGGGAGACAACACAAUGAUUUUGAUGCCUGAGUACUUUUAUUCUUAGGCCGAAAUCCUGUCACCUUAGGUCGAUCGGUACCUCAGCUUUGAAGUCAAGGAUCAGCAGCAAUGUUGAUUGCUUGAUGGAGAUUUUUAGUUCCUAAACUUUGUCUAGGUCACACCCCAAAAGGGAUGAGACUCCUGGGCCAUUAGCUCAGGUGGUUAGAGCGCACCCCUGAUAAGGGUGAGGUCCCUGGUUCAAGUCCAGGAUGGCCCAUUCGGUGUUGGGGGUUUAGCUCAGUUGGUAGAGCGCCUGCUUUGCAAGCAGGAUGUCAGGAGUUCGAGUCUCCUAACCUCCACUGACCGAACUUGAUUCCCAUCUCCAAUUUUUUGGAGUUGAGCUCGAUUGGAGUGUGAUUUAGAUGUGUCCGCUGGAUGACCCCAGCUUCCUGUCAUUCCAAGUUUUAGAUUUUAAGUCUUAAAUUUGGUUGAUAAGAUGCUGGGCUCGGAUCAAAUAAUCAAGCAAUUGAUGAUUUGAUUUGAAGUUCUAGCAGAACCUUGACAACUGCAUAGGUGAAGUCUGGAAAAACAAAGCAUCUUACAGAUGCAUUGUUUUGAAUCUGAUCUUCUGAAAGGGAGAUUAGAUCUAGAACAAUGAAAAUUCUUUUGAGCAAGAGCCGAGACUCUUAAAUGUUCUUUGAUUCGUGUCGAGCGAAUCAGAGUUUGAUCUUGUUUUUAGCAAUAAAAACUUGAGAAUCUGCUUUCAACGGCGGUAAGCGUUUAAGAGGUUAAUUGGUCAAGCUACAAAGGGCUCACG
rnacentral:misc_RNA from 1 species